UACGUAGGGGGCAAGCGUUGUCCGGAUUUACUGGGCGUAAAGAGCGUGUAGGCGGCCACGCAGGUCCGUUGUGAAAACUGGAGGCUCAACCUCCAGCUGUCGACGGAAACCGUGUGGCUAGAGUCCGGAAGAGGAGAGUGGAAUUCCUGGUGUAGCGGUGAAAUGCGCAGAUAUCAGGAAGAACACCAAUGGCGAAGGCAGCUCUCUGGGACGGUACUGACGCUGAGACGCGAAAGCGUGGGUAGCGAACAGG
rnacentral:rRNA from 1 species